GCCCUCUCAGGGUCGCAUCUGGAGAGUUUCCAAUACUCUACCAGUCUCGAUUAUAGGAAGGAGAAUCAAGCAGAGGCCUACCCAUUUCAUUCCUAGCUUGGCCAGUGGCUAGUGAGUGGAAGGCAAUCUGCUACAUGU